rnacentral:rRNA from 1 species
CCUACGGGAGGCAGCAGUAGGGAAUUUUCCACAAUGGGCGAAAGCCUGAUGGAGCAACGCCGCGUGCAGGAUGAAUGCCUUCGGGUUGUAAACUGCUUUUAUAUGUGACGAAUAUGACGGUAGCAUAUGAAUAAGGAUCGGCUAACUCCGUGCCAGCAGCCGCGGUCAUACGGAGGAUCCAAGCGUUAUCCGGAAUUACUGGGCGUAAAGAGUUGCGUAGGUGGCAUAGUAAGUAGAUAGUGAAAGCGUGUGGCUCAACCAUACUCACAUUAUCUAAACUGCUAAGCUAGAGGAUGAGAGAGGUUAUUGGAAUUCCCUGUGUAGGAGUGAAAUCCGUAGAUAUAGGGAGGAACACCGAUGGCGUAGGCAGAUAACUGGCUCAUUCCUGACACUAAGGCACGAAAGCGUGGGUAGCAAACGGGAUUAGAUACCCGAGUAGU